UUGCUAAUUGCUCAUAUUCUAAAUGAACCAAACCAAACUGGAUGUGCAUGAGUAAUUAUAUACCAGAAAAACCUGUCAUGACAAGUGUGCCAGGUUUUUUUUAUACUCAUCUUAUUGCGUUAAAUAUGUUCCGUGUUCCGGUCUGCCCACACGAGGAGGCAGCCUAUUGGAGGACGGACACACCUUCCGCACGAGCUAGGAACCCUGCCGCCGUCUACUUGCGCCACCGCUUCCUCCCAGGAGUGGUGCAGCGAGUCUACAUGCCCAUCCGCUUCCUCCCAGGAGUCUAAUUGCGGGAUUUUAACUAUUCCGCUUCUUGUGCCCUGGACCCUCGUGGAGAUGGAUCAAAAGGGACAUUGGAGCAGGAUCAAUCAUAGUUGUUUAUGAGCUCUGUUCUAAUUUUGCACAUCGCAAGAGAAUUAUCAAUUCCAAUGUAUUUCCAGUUAUACCUUUCAUUGUAUUUGUUGGCAUGGCAUACAAGAUACAGUUCUUCAUCAAAAGUUUGGCAAUAAAAGGCUGAAGUUCAAUGAAAGCUCCCACUGAUCUGAUUUGAAACCUAUUUCAAAAGGUAGUUCAUUGUUCGUCAAGUGAAUGCCAAGGAUUUAAAGAUUUUUAGAGCUGGAUUUUGGUACACAUUAAAAAUCAUUUCGUGACUCGGCCAACCAUUUCUCUGGAUUUUGGCGCACACAUUCUUUGCGAGCAAGAUGGAUCUGUUCCUUAAAACUGAGCAAUAGUUAUGUUUGGACAUACAUAUUUGUAUUCAAUAGUCAAGAUUGGCAUAAUAGGGAAAUUGCUUGAUGAA